CAGUAGCCGCGGGAAUACGUAGGUGGCAAGCGUUGUCCGGAAUUAUUGGGCGUAAAGGGCUCGCAGGCGGUUUCUUAAGUCUGAUGUGAAAGCCCCCGGCUCAACCGGGGAGGGUCGUUGGAAACUGGGAAACUUGAGUGCAGAAGAGGAGAGUGGAAUUCCACGUGUAGCGGUGAAAUGCGUAGAGAUGUGGAGGAACACCAGUGGCGAAGGCGACUCUCUGGUCUGUAACUGACGCUGAGGAGCGAAAGCGUGGGGAGCGAACAGGAUUAGAUACCCCAGUAGUCCCUGUCUCUUAUCC
rnacentral:rRNA from 1 species